AUUGAACGCUGGCGGCAGGCCUAACACAUGCAAGUCGAGCGAGCGGCGGACGGGUGAGUAAUGUCUGGGAAACUGCCUGAUGGAGGGGGAUAACUACGGGAAACGGUAGCUAAUACCGCACACCAUCAGCUUUGCCCAGAUGGGAUUGGCGAGUAGGUGGGGUAACGGCCCACCUAGGCGACGAUCCCUAGCUGGUCUGAGAGGAUGACCAGCCACACUGGAACUGAGAAACGGUCCAGACUCCUACGGGAGGCAGCAGUGGGGAAUAUUGCACAAUGGGCGCAAGCCUGAUGCAGCCAUGCCGCGUGUGUGAAGAAGGCCUUCGGGUUGUAAAGCACUUUCAGCGGGGAGGCGUUACCCGCAGAAGAAGCACCGGCUAACUCCGGGCCAGCAGCCGCGGUAAUAC
rnacentral:rRNA from 1 species